rnacentral:tRNA from 1 species
GCUCCUGCGCCGAAGGGACGGCACCCGGUGUUCUAAGCCGGUCGGUGAGGGUUCGAGUCCUUCCGGGAGCG